rnacentral:pre_miRNA from 1 species
AGUAGAACUACUAGGUCAUAUGUAAAUUUAACUUUAUAAGAAACUUCCAAACUUUUCUAAAGUAGCUGCAAUAUUUUGUGUUUGCAACUGGCAGU